CCCCAAAAAUCCUACGCCGGGCCACUGAGUCCGUGUCGAUUUCUGCUUAGACCGCUUCCGCGUUUGAUACGCAGCAUUUCCUGUUUGUAGAUGAAAGUGAAAGUAUUUUAAUACUGGACUAUCCAUUUUGUCAAGAAACACGGAUAAGAUUCUGUAUUGCGAGUUCAUAGAGGCCCCAGCAUCAGUCAGCUGGUCUAGAUCGGCACAAAAAUGGAGCGAGCUGCUUCUGAAAUGAGCCCCCCUGUGGAGUGUAAAACAAGGAGAACUGAGAGUGUCCUGAUGGAGAGAGCAGGCUCACCUGUACCCAGCUGUGUUUCCCUGAAGAGUGACAAGUCAAUGAUAGAACCAAUCAGCUUCAGAGAGGGACGUUUUCCUACAGAUCAAAGG